rnacentral:rRNA from 1 species
CCUACGGGAGGCAGCAGUCGGGAAUUUUGCRCAAUGGGCGAAAGCCUGACGCAGCAACGCCGCGUGAGGGAUGACGGCCUUCGGGUUGUAAACMUCUUUUAUCAGGGAAGAUAAUGACGGUACCUGAUGAAUAAUCACCGGCUAAUACG